rnacentral:pre_miRNA from 1 species
GUCUUACCAGGCAAAGUUAGAUUGCGAUCACUCUGUCUAAUACUGUCUGGUAAUGCCGU